AGUGACGGUACCUGACUAAGAAGCCCCGGCUAACUACGUGCCAGCAGCCGCGGUAAUACGUAGGGGGCAAGCGUUAUCCGGAAUGAUUGGGCGUAAAGGGUGCGUAGGUGGCACGAUAAGUCUGGAGUAAAAGGGAGCGGCUCAACCGCUGUUGGCUCUGGAAACUGUCGAGCUAGAGAGCAGGAGAGGGCGAUGGAAUUCCAUGUGUAGCGGUAAAAUGCGUAGAUAUAUGGAGGAACACCGGUGGCGAAGGCGGUCGCCUGGCCUGCAACUGACACUGAAGCACGAAAGCGUGGGGAGCAAAUAGGAUUAGAUACCCUAGUAGUCCACGCCGUAAACGAUGAGGACUAAGUGUUGGGGGAACUCAGUGCUGCAGUUAACGCAAUAAGUCCUCCGCCUGGGGAGUAUGCACGCAAGUGUGAAACUCAAAGGAAUUGACGGGGGCCCGCACAAGCGGUGGAGUAUGUGGUUUAAUUCGAAGCAACGCGAAGAACCUUACCAGGUCUUGACAUCCCUUGCAAGUCCAUGGAGACAUGGAGGAGGUCAUCAAGGAGACAGGUGGUGCAUGGUUGUCGUCAGCUCGUGUCGUGAGAUGUUGGGUUAAGUCCCGCAACGAGCGCAACCCUUGUCGCAUGUUACCAAUAUUGAGUUAGGGACUCAUGCGAGACUGCCGGUGACAAACCGGAGGAAGGUGGGGAUGACGUCAAAUCAUCAUGCCCCUUAUGACCUGGGCUACACACGUACUACAAUGGCGGCUACAAAGAGAAGCGACACCGUGAGGUGAAGCGGAUCUCAGAAAGGCCGUCCCAGUUCGGAUUGAAGUCUGCAACUCGACUUCAUGAAGUUGGAAUCGCUAGUAAUCGCGAAUCAGCAUGUCGCGGUGAAUACGUUCUCGGGCCUUGCACUCACCGCCCGUCAA
rnacentral:rRNA from 1 species